GACGAACGCUGGCGGCGUGCUUAACACAUGCAAGUCGAACGGGAAGUCCCUGCUUUUGUGGGGUGCUCUAGUUGCCAACUGGUGAGUAACACUUGAGUAACCUGCCCUUGACUUUGGGAUAACUUCAUGAAACUUGGUCUAAUACCGGAUAGGAUCUCCUGCUUCAUGGUGGGGGUUGGUAAGUUUCGGUGGUUGGUGAUGGACUCGCGUCUUAUCAGCUUGUUGGUGGGGUAGUGUAUUAGCAAGGCUUUGACGGGUAGCCGGCCUGAGAGGGUGACCGGACAAACUAGGACUGAGAUACGGCACAGCCCACUAUCGGACGGAAGAGAGCGGAAUAUUGUAUUGUGGGAGGAACGAUAACCCAGUAAAGCAACGUGGCGGAAGAGAGCAAGCGGGUUGUAAACUGAUUUCCCCUGUGACGAAGCGUGAGUGACAGUAAUGGGUAAAGAAGCACCGGCUAACUCCGUG
rnacentral:rRNA from 1 species